GCCCGGAUGGCGGAACAGGUAGACGCGCUGGUCUCAAAAACCAGUGGGAUUUUCCCUUGCCGGUUCGAUUCCGGCUCCGGGUA
rnacentral:tRNA from 2 species